rnacentral:rRNA from 1 species
GAUGAACGCUAGCGGCAGGCUUAAUACAUGCAAGUCGUGGGGCAGCACAGAGUAGCAAUACUUGGGUGGCGACCGGCAAACGGGUGCGGAACACGUACGCAACCUUCCUUCAGGCGGGGAAUAGCCCAGAGAAAUUUGGAUUAAUACCCCAUAAAAUUUUGAGAUGGCAUCAUCUUAUUAUUAAAGCUUCGGCACCUGAUGAUGGGCGUGCGGCUGAUUAGGUAGUUGGCGGGGUAACGGCCCACCAAGCCUACGAUCAGUAGCUGAUGUGGGAGCAUGAUCAGCCACACGGGCACUGAGACACGGGCCCGACGCCUACGGGAGGCAGCAGUAAGGAAUAUUGGUAAAUGGACGAAAGUCUGAACCAGCCAUGCCGCGUGGAGGAUGAAGGUCCUCUGGAUUGUAAACUUCUUUUAUUUGGGACGAAAAAAGGGAAUUCUUUCCCACUUGACGGUACCAGAUGAAUAAGCACCGGCUAACUCCGUGCCAGCAGCCGCCGUAACAC